rnacentral:tRNA from 1 species
UCCCUGGUAGCUCAGUUGGUAAAGAUUCUGCCUGCAAUGCAGGAGACCUGGGUUCGAUCCCUGGGUUGGGAA